rnacentral:rRNA from 1 species
GGGUUCCUACAUUCUUAAGACCGCCUUCGGAUGGUCAGGCACUUUCAGCGAGGAGGAAAGGGUGUAAGUUAAUACCUUACAUCUGUGACGUUACUCGCAGAAGAAGCACCGGCUAACUCCGUGCCAGCAGCCGCGGUAAUACGGAGGGUGCGAGCGUUAAUCGGAAUUACUGGGCGUAAAGCGUGCGCAGGCGGUUUGUUAAGCGAGAUGUGAAAGCCCCGGGCUCAACCUGGGAACCGCAUUUCGAACUGGCAAACUAGAGUCUUGUAGAGGGGGGUAGAAUUCCAGGUGUAGCGGUGAAAUGCGUAGAGAUCUGGAGGAAUACCGGUGGCGAAGGCGGCCCCCUGGACAAAGACUGACGCUCAGGCACGAAAGCGUGGGGAGCAAACAGGAUUAGAUACCCUGGUAGUCCACGCCGUAAACGAUGUCUACUCGGAGUUUGGUGUCUUGAACACUGGGCUCUCAAGCUAACGCAUUAAGUAGACCGCCUGGGGAGUACGGCGCAAGGUUAAAACUCAAA